AUGAGGAAGAGAGGAAGAGAGGGAGCCGCCGUCAUGUCGUCACCGUUCAGCCCAUCGCCACCGCCGUGUUGCCACCGAGCCGCCGGUCACGAAGGGAAGAAAGACAGAGGCGCGCAGAGUUCAUGAGGGAAGAGAGAGAGGCCGAACGCGAGGAGGGAGGGAACCCUCGUCGUCGCCGUUCGUGGAGUCCGUGCCAGCACCGUCGUCGCCGUCGCUGAGGAGCGUCCCUGUCUCCGUGAGCUGCCGCCAUCGAAGCUUCUGCUUCUGCUUUGCUACUUCUGUUGUCAUGCCGUUGUCCCUCUGGACGUCGCUGCUUCUGAAUCUUGCCCUGUCACUGGUUCUCUGCCUCUUCAUUGUGGCUCAACCUCUGUUUAGGUUCAUUGAGUGGUUGGGUUGUUGCUGUAGUGGAAGCUGUGGUGAAAGCAUUGAGGAUGCAAAGAAGCUCAAAUCUCUUUUGUUUAUGAAUAGAUAUUGUUAUGACUUAGACUUUAUUAUGUGAUUUUAAAGUAUUUUAGUUUAUUUGACUUCUAAAAUCUUUUUUUAUAGGUCACAAAUAUGUAUGAAUCUUAUAGAAUACGUUAUAAAUCAAAUGUUCAAUUAGUUUUCUUUAGUGA